rnacentral:misc_RNA from 1 species
GCUCUUUCGAGAUGACAGCUGUUACUCACACAGAUGGGAAACCGAGUAGAGUAUAAUUUACCAAACGUCGAAGAGUACGUUUCUGAAUUCCCCCUUUGUUUUUACGUUCACGUCGGUUACAGAACCAGAGGAGAGCUUGAUUGGCUAGCUUAAAAAGCUUAUUUCAUAUUUUUAUUAAUCGCGUUAGAUCCGCGUCGUGGGAUAGUGAUAGCGCUAUAAAACCCACCACUCUCUGUGAGCAAAAACCAUCAGUUACAAAACAAGCAGCGCUUUUACGAGCUCGAAGAGGCUAUUCAGUUCUUAACUUACUUUCGUUAAACCAGCUUUUCACUUGUUUUUAUUUUUUCCCCCUAAGUUUUCUGUGAUUCUUGAUCUGAAUGGCGGAGCAGGAUCACCACAAGAGCCAUGAGUCUGAGACCCCUGUCGUUGGUGGGGGUGCAGCUGUAGAGACCAAGGAUCGUGGGCUUUUUGAUUUCAUGGGGAAGAAAGAGGAAGAGAAGCCUCAAGAAGAGGUGAUCGUCACAGAGUUUGAA